UCCAGGGUAGCCUAGUGGACAUGGCAUCUGCCCGGUAAGCGGAACAUUGUGGAUUUGAUUCCCAUCCCUGGAC
rnacentral:tRNA from 1 species